rnacentral:rRNA from 1 species
CCUACGGGAGGCUGCAGUAGGGAAUCUUUCACAAUGGGCGAAAGCCUGAUGGAGCAACGCCGCGUGCAGGAUGAAGGCCUUCGGGUUGUAAACUGCUUUUAUAAGCGAGAAAUAUGAUGGUAACUUAUGAAUAAGGAUCGGCUAACUACGUGCCAGCAGCCGCGGUAAUACGUAGGGGGCAAGCGUUAUCCGGAUUUACUGGGUGUAAAGGGAGCGUAGGCGGUUUAGCAAGUCAGAAGUGAAAGCCCGGGGCUCAACUCCGGGACUGCUUUUGAAACUGUUGAACUAGAUUGCAGGAGAGGUAAGUGGAAUUCCUGGUGUAGCGGUGAAAUGCGUAGAUAUUAGGAGGAACACCAGUGGCGAAGGCGGCUUACUGGACUGUAAAUGACGCUGAGGCUCGAAAGCGUGGGGAGCAAACAGGAUUAGAUACCCGAGUAGUC